UUUCCGUAGGUGAACCUGCGGAAGGAUCAUUAUUGAAAUAAACCUGAUGGGUUGCUGCUGGCUCUCUUGGGAGCAUGUGCACACUUGUCAUCUUUAUAUCUCCACCUGUGCACCUUUUGUAGAUCUGGAUAUCUUUCUGAAUGCCUGGCAUUCAGGUUUGAGGAUUGACUUUUGUCUUUCCUUACAUUUCCAGGCCUAUGUUUUCUUCAUAUACACCAUGUAUGUUAUAGAAUGUAAUGAAAAGGGCCUUUGUGCCUACAAACCUUAUACAACUUUCAGCAACGGAUCUCUUGGCUCUCGCAUCGAUGAAGAACGCAGCGAAAUGCGAUAAGUAAUGUGAAUUGCAGAAUUCAGUGAAUCAUCGAAUCUUUGAACGCACCUUGCGCUCCUUGGUAUUCCGAGGAGCAUGCCUGUUUGAGUGUCAUUAAUAUAUCAACCUCCUUCAUGUUUUUACUUGUUGAGUGUUUGGAUGUGGGGGUAUCUUUUGCUGGUCUCUUUGGAGGUCGGCUCCCCUGAAAUGCAUUAGCGGAACAAUUUGUUGACUCGUUCAUUGGUGUGAUAACUAUCUACGCUAUUGACGUGAAGCAGGUUCAGCUUCUAACAGUCCAUUGACUUGGACAAAUUUUCAUUAAUGUGACCUCAAAUCAGGUAGGACUACCCGCUGAACUUAA
rnacentral:rRNA from 1 species